rnacentral:rRNA from 1 species
GACAGAGGGGGCAAACGUUGUUCGGAAUUACUGGGCGUAAAGUGUGCGCAGGCGGCUUCGCAAGUCGGGUGUGAAAUCCCCGAGCUUAACUUGGGAAUUGCGCUCGAAACUACGGAGCUGGAGUGUGGCAGAGGAAGGUGGAAUUCCACGUGUAGCGGUGAAAUGCGUAGAGAUGUGGAGGAACACCGAUGGCGAAGGCAGCCUUCUGGGCCGACACUGACGCUCAUGCGCGAAAGCGUGGGGAGCAAACAGG